rnacentral:rRNA from 1 species
AGCGAACGCUGGCGGCAGGCCUAACACAUGCAAGUCGAACGAACCUUUCGGGGUUAGUGGCGGACGGGUGAGUAACACGUGGGAACGUGCCUUUAGGUUCGGAAUAACUCAGGGAAACUUGUGCUAAUACCGAAUGUGCCCUUCGGGGUAAAGAUUUAUCGCCUUUAGAGCGGCCCGCGUCUGAUUAGCUAGUUGGUUGAGGUAAUGGCUCACCAAGGCGACGAUCAGUAGCUGGUCUGAGAGGAUGAUCAGCCACAUUGGGACUGAGACACGGCCCAAACUCCUACGGGAAGCAGCAGUGGGGAAUCUUGCGCAAUGGGCGAAAGCCUGACGCAGCCAUGCCGCGUGAAUGAUGAAGGUCUUAGGAUUGUAAAAUUCUUUCACCGGGGACGAUAAUGACGGUACCCGGAGAAGAAGCCCCGGCUAACUUCGUG